UAAAUACUCCCUCCGUCCAACAAAUGAUGUCUCAACUUUGAAUGCAUCUAUACACUAAGUUAUGUCUAGAUACAUUCAAAUUUUGACAAACUUGAGACAUUUUUUGUUGGACGGAGGAAUAUAAA
rfam:Brachypodium distachyon strain Bd21 chromosome 1, whole genome shotgun sequence.